AUGGGGUGAAGAAGAUUGGUUAGGGUUUUGCUGCUUCCAGUUUUUUCAAUCAAAUUUAUGCAUAGUUCAAUUUUAUACUUCUUGUUGUUAUGAUACUAUGUCCAACUCCCCACUUCAAUUUUCUCUCAUUCAUCAUUGGUAUAAAUCUUAAAUUUAUUUGUUCUUCUGUUGUGACUAUGCCAAGAACAUAUGGUCCAAAAUUCUGCAGUGGCAGGGGAUACAUUGACAAGCACUAUCAUGGCAAGAGGAGUUGAGUUGAGGACAUGAAAUAGCUACCACUAACUUUGAUGUUUGUUUAACGGAAUUAGGAUGGAGUAUUCCACCGUCGGGAAGUGUGAGACAAUGCCAUCAACAAGAUUACUGAAUGUAAAGAUCAAAGCACUACUUUGCUUUGAACAAGAAAGAAUGAUAUGGAUUUGUCACCUGCAACUACCCUUUCUUUUUUACAACGACCUUUUGGAUUUCAAAAUCUUGCAGAGGUUUGGAAUCACUACCAUUAGAUUUUCAGUUGUUUAUAUUAUUUUGCCUUACAACCAUUUUCAAUGAAACUGAAUAGACGAUAGUCAUGGAACUUCCUGUGAACGUGGACUACUUUUGGACAAUCUUUUGGAUCUACCACAUGCUCCUUAAAUUAAGGAUGGAGUGUCCCAAGCUUGAUAAAGUUCUUGACUCCUGCAUCUGGUGUGCAAAAGAUAUUGGGAUCCGUAUACAUAGAUAUGGUCCUUAGACCAACUUGUAUGGUUUAUCCACCAUUGGCAUCUCAAAGCCAGGCAAAUUGGAAAUUGGAGGGACAGAGCACCAAGCAAUUUUCAACUUCGUCAAAUGAAUGUUUGACUACCUUUAUUACGAAAGAAGACACGGUUAUUAUAUCGAAUGUCACUGGAUUUUUCUCCCCUGCUGAAACACAUCCCCUUGAUGCAAUAUGUUUCGAGGCAUUUGCUGAGCAGGAUCGCCUGCUCAAUGGCACCAAUAUUUGGAACCUGUCAGUCUCUUACAAUAAGCUGUGUUUUGAGGCGGUAAAUAGUGGAGCAAAGGACCUACCAUUCAGCAGAUAAACAGAAUUACAUCAACUACCAAGCUUUACUUUUCAAGAUGACUUUGAUCUCUUUAUUAUCAGGUCGCGGUGAAAUUCAGUUAAGUUGAUGAGAAGCUCUCUCACUUACUGUGGUUACCAUAUUUUUUCUUGUGAGGAGAUGCUUAAAUGACUGUCGCCUCAUCACUCUAGAACUAAAUUUGUGCAUUUCUAAUCAUUAUAGUCGGAAGGGAUCGAACUUCCUUAUAUCGUGCAGGCUCGAGACAAUGUCAUGCUACAAUAUCUAUGUGACAAG